GAUGAAGAACGUAGCGAAAUGCGAUACGUAAUGUGAAUUGCAGAAUUCAGUGAAUCAUCGAAUCUUUGAACGCAUAUUGCGCUCUCUGGUAUUCCGGAGAGCAUGCUUGUUUGAGUAUCAGUAAACACCUCAACUUCCAUAUCUUUUUUGAAAUGGGAGUUGGACUUGAGUGAUCCCAACGCUUUUCCUCACCGAAAAGUGGCGGGUUACUUGAAAUGCAGGUGCAGCUGGACUUUUCUCUGAGCUAUAAGCAUAUCUAUUUAGUCUGCCUAAAAAACAGAUUACUACCUUUGCUGCAGCUAACAUAAAGGAGAUUAGUUCUUGUGCUGACUGAUGCAGGAUUCACAAAGACAGGCUUCGGCCGACUUUGUAAACUCGAUCUCAAAUCAAGUAAGACUACCCGCUGAACUUAAGCAUAUCAAUAAGCGGAGGA
rnacentral:misc_RNA from 1 species